rnacentral:rRNA from 1 species
AACGAACGCUGGCGGCAGGCCUAACACAUGCAAGUCGAGCGAGACCUUCGGGUCUAGCGGCGGACGGGUUGGUAACGCGUGGGAACGUGCCCUUCUCUGCGGAAUAGCCACUGGAAACGGUGAGUAAUACCGCAUACGCCCUUCGGGGGAAAGAUUUAUCGGAGAAGGAUCGGCCCGCGUUAGAUUAGAUAGUUGGUGGGUAACGGCCUACCAAGUCUACGAUCUAUAGCUGGUUUUAGAGGAUGAUCAGCAACACUGGGACUGAGACACGGCCCAGACUCCUACGGGAGGCAGCAGUGGGGAAUCUUAGACAAUGGGCGCAAGCCUGAUCUAGCCAUGCCGCGUGUGUGAUGAAGGUCUUAGGAUCGUAAAGCACUUUCGCCAGGGAUGAUAAUGACAGUACCUGGUAAAGAAACCCCGGCUAACUCCGUG